GACAGAGGGUGCAAACGUUGUUCGGAAUUACUGGGCGUAAAGCGUGUGUAGGCGGCUAGGUAAGUCGGAUGUGAAAGCCCCCGGGCUCAACUCGGGAAGUGCACUCGAUACUGCUUAGCUCGAGUACCGGAGAGGUUGGUGGAAUUCUCGGUGUAGAGGUGAAAUGCGUAGAGAUCGGGAGGAACAUCAGUGGCGAAGGCGGCCAUCUGGGACAACACUGACGCUGAGGCACGAAAGCGUGGGGAGCAAACAGG
rnacentral:rRNA from 1 species